UGGGGAAUAUUGCACAAUGGGCGCAAGCCUGAUGCAGCCAUGCCGCGUGUAUGAAGAAGGCCUUCGGGUUGUAAAGUACUUUCAGCGAGGAGGAAGGCGUUGUGGUUAAUAACCGCAGCGAUUGACGUUACUCGCAGAAGAAGCACCGGCUAACUCCGUGCCAGCAGCCGCGGUAAUACGGAGGGUGCAAGCGUUAAUCGGAAUUACUGGUGUAAAGCGCACGCAGGCGGUCUGUCAAGUCGGAUGUGAAAUCCCCGGGCUCAACCUGGGAACUGCAUCCGAAACUGGCAGGCUAGAGUCUUGUAGAGGGGGGUAGAAUUCCAGGUGUAGCGGUGAAAUGCGUAGAGAUCUGGAGGAAUACCGGUGGCGAAGGCGGCCCCCUGGACAAAGACUGACGCUCAGGUGCGAAAGCGUGGGGAGCAAACA
rnacentral:rRNA from 1 species